UCUCCUACGGGAGGCAGCAGUGGGGGAUAUUGCGCAAUGGGGGCAACCCUGACGCAGCAACGCCGCGUGAAGGAAGANGGUUUUCGGAUUGUAAACUUCUUUUAUUAAGGACGAACAANGACGGU
rnacentral:rRNA from 1 species